AGUGAACGCUGGCGGUAGGCCUAACACAUGCAAGUCGAACGGCAGCACAGUAAGAGCUUGCUCUUACGGGUGGCGAGUGGCGGACGGGUGAGGAAUACAUCGGAAUCUACUUUUUCGUGGGGGAUAACGUAGGGAAACUUACGCUAAUACCGCAUACGACCUACGGGUGAAAGCAGGGGAUCUUCGGACCUUGCGCGAUUGAAUGAGCCGAUGUCGGAUUAGCUAGUUGGCGGGGUAAAGGCCCACCAAGGCGACGAUCCGUAGCUGGUCUGAGAGGAUGAUCAGCCACACUGGAACUGAGACACGGUCCAGACUCCUACGGGAGGCAGCAGUGGGGAAUAUUGGACAAAGGGCGCAAGCCUGAUCCAGCCAUGCCGCGUGGGUGAAGAAGGCCUUCGGGUUGUAAAGCCCUUUUGUCGGGAAAGAAAAGCAGCAGGUUAAUACCCCGCUGUUCUGACGGUACCCAAAGAAUAAGCACCGGCUAACUUCGUG
rnacentral:rRNA from 1 species